AAGAUGGUGAUCCAAUUUCAUCUGAACAUCAGAUAUUUGUCGAGGAGAAGAUUCUGAAUUUCCAUCCACAAAAAGAAGCAAAGAUUGGUGCUGGCGUCGAGUAUAUCACGGUGGAUAAACACACAUUGUUCCAGGAGACCAGGUGUUUCUUUGUUGUCUCAACAGAUGGGACGAAACAGGAUUUUUCCUACAUAAAAUGCAUCAAGAACUUAUUGACAGAGAGAUACACCACCUGCAUCGCUGAAGAUUUCAUUGGAAAAUUCUUUAAGAAGAAGAGUGAUCUUCCUUCGGCUGAGAACCAGGACAAGAACAAAGAUGCCACAACAGCUGAAACCUUUGAAAAGAAACAAGAGAUAACCACAGAAGUCUCUGAAAUCCCCUCUGGUACUGGAGCAGAAGAGACUCAAGAUCAAUCAGAAUAAAAGCCUUUUGUCUUAAAAAAACACAGUCGUUUUUCUAUUUGGUAACUAUAUUGCUUUUUUUUGGGUCUAGAACAGUUUAUUAAUUGCAUGCACUUGGUACUUUUUGUUGAAAACAGUAAGUCAAGGUUUCAUUGCAGUUGUUAGUUUUAGUUU